rnacentral:lncRNA from 1 species
GCAUGCGCGCGCCCCAGGGCCCAGCCCUGUUCCUGCUCCGGCUCCUGCGGGGAUGGAUGCUUCACGCAGUAAGCGACCUAAGUCGCGGAAGCGUAGACACCCGGCUUUUCCCGCGUGCUCUAUCGGGCUCCCCUGGACACGGAGGGUGGAGCAGAAAGAGCAGAGGGGCCGGUGGGAGCCAUGGGGAGUCCGCCUAGCUCCAGAGGACACCUUACCUGGAUCCGCCUUUGUAGCCUCCUCCUGGCUCUGGGGGCUGUCCUGUGGGGUCCGAGUAGCUGAAAGACAGCCCCUCCAUGUGAGGAAGCCCCCAACUGGGGAAAACCCCCUCGUGGACUCAUUCCUGUCCCUGCAUGUGGCCUUCACCUGACUGUCUGCAUUGAGGCAUCCUCUGCCAAGAGCAAUUUCAAAGUGGCAGGAAAGUGCUGCUUUCAACAUCUGCCACAUUUGCAAGAAGAGCAAAGGUGGCCCAUUUGAGACCACCCUUGAACUAAACCAUCCAGUGAGCCCCUGAGGUCGGGACAGAAGUGGCCAUGACCUUCCUCAAGCAGGGACUGUGGUGGAGCCCACCUUAUCCAGCACAAGGUGGCCUGCUGACUUCUGGUGACAGUGAUGCCAACUUCCUGGCUGUCCAAGGUUCAAAUCUUGGUCUUAAUCCUCCUGGCCUUCUCUCAUCAAUGGCCAGAGCCACCCUAGCUAACAAGGUGCCCAGGGACUCCGGGGUGGGAGAAGUCCAGCUUCUUCUUAGCUGAGGACAUUUGAGUCUCGUCACAGCCCCCAAAAGAAUACUCAUUUUUGUAGCUGGAGGGCCUGGCCUCUGUCUAUCUUUGCUUUUCCAGAAGCUGACAAGUACCUGCCGGAAAAACUGCCUCUUUUCCCUCCCGUGCUUGGAGCAGGCAUUGCUGACAGAUCACAGCUGCUGGGCCCAAAGGUCCCUUUGCACGCGGGACUUCAGGAAGUUGCUGCUGACCUAUGGGAGUUGGUGCAGAAAGAUGAAAUUUGUUAUCCUUGGCUGUAUCAACUCUCUCUCCUCUCCUUGGUGGUGAUAGUUUUGUUCUUAAAAGCCUCUUGUGAGAGAAUUUGUGGAUGAAGAACCUGUAAGAUCACAAGUGAAACAAUUUAUUGAUGUCAAUAGAUUUAUACACGUUCAUUAAGAAUCAAAACUAAACUAAAACAUCAGUCUGACUAAAGAGACCACCACAGAUAUUUCAUAUGCUGUACAUCAGUAACAAAGGGUACCAAAUAGUUAAUAUCCAUGUACUAGUCACAUGAGAAAUGUUUUAGGGUCAUUGACCAGUGUAGUCAGUACAGUGGUCCCAUGGUAUUUGUGGGGGAUUGGUUCCAGGAAUCUCUUGGACACCAACUCCGUGGAUGAUCAGACAAUAUAAAAUGUGGGUCAGGUGCGGUGGCUCAUACCUGUAAUCCCAGCAUUUUGCGAGAAUCACUUGAGGCCAGUUCAAGAUCAGCCUGUGCAACAUAGCAAGACUCCACCUCUAAAAAAAAAAAAAAAAAAAAAAA